UACAGAGGUCUCGAGCGUUAGGCGGAAUCACUGGGCUUAAAGCGUGUGUAGGCGGAUCGUUAAGUACCUUGUGAAAUCCCACGGCUUAACCGGGGAACUGCGUCUGAUACUGGAUGGCUUGAGUGUGGGAGAGGGAUGCGGAAUUCCAGGUGUAGCGGUGAAAUGCGUAGAUAUCUGGAGGAACACCGGUGGCGAAGGCGGCAUCCUGGACCAUGACUGACACUGAAAAGCGAAAGCCAGGGGAGCAAACGGG
rnacentral:rRNA from 1 species